rnacentral:rRNA from 1 species
UACGUAGGGGGCUAGCGUUGUCCGGAAUCAUUGGGCGUAAAGAGCUCGUAGGCGGCUUGUUGCGUCGGCUGUGAAAACCCGUGGCUUAACUGCGGGCUUGCAGCCGAUACGGGCGGGCUGGAGUUCGGUAGGGGAGACUGGAAUUCCUGGUGUAGCGGUGAAAUGCGCAGAUAUCAGGAGGAACACCGGUGGCGAAGGCAGCUCGCUGGGACGGUACUGACGCUGAGACGCGAAAGCGUGGGGGAGCAAACAGG